rnacentral:rRNA from 1 species
AAAUUGAAGAGUUUGAUCAUGGCUCAGAUUGAACGCUGGCGGCAGGCCUAACACAUGCAAGUCGAACGGUAACAGGAAUCAGCUUGCUGAUUCGCUGACGAGUGGCGGACGGGUGAGUAAUGUCUGGGAAACUGCCUGAUGGAGGGGGAUAACUACUGGAAACGGUAGCUAAUACCGCAUAAUGUCGCAAGACCAAAGAGGGGGACCUUCGGGCCUCUUGCCAUCGGAUGUGCCCAGAUGGGAUUAGCUAGUAGGUGGGGUAACGGCUCACCUAGGCGACGAUCCCUAGCUGGUCUGAGAGGAUGACCAGCCACACUGGAACUGAGACACGGUCCAGACUCCUACGGGAGGCAGCAGUGGGGAAUAUUGCACAAUGGGCGCAAGCCUGAUGCAGCCAUGCCGCGUGUAUGAAGAAGGCCUUCGGGUUGUAAAGUACUUUCAGCGGGGAGGAAGGGAGUAAAGUUAAUACCUUUGCUCAUUGACGUUACCCGCAGAAGAAGCACCGGCUAACUCCGUGCCAGCAGCCGCGGUAAUACGGAGGGUGCAAGCGUUAAUCGGAAUUACUGGGCGUAAAGCGCACGCAGGCGGUUUGUUAAGUCAGAUGUGAAAUCCCCGGGCUCAACCUGGGAACUGCAUCUGAUACUGGCAAGCUUGAGUCUCGUAGAGGGGGGUAGAAUUCCAGGUGUAGCGGUGAAAUGCGUAGAGAUCUGGAGGAAUACCGGUGGCGAAGGCGGCCCCCUGGACGAAGACUGACGCUCAGGUGCGAAAGCGUGGGGAGCAAACAGGAUUAGAUACCCUGGUAGUCCACGCCGUAAACGAUGUCGACUUGGAGGUUGUGCCCUUGAGGCGUGGCUUCCGGAGCUAACGCGUUAAGUCGACCGCCUGGGGAGUACGGCCGCAAGGUUAAAACUCAAAUGAAUUGACGGGGGCCCGCACAAGCGGUGGAGCAUGUGGUUUAAUUCGAUGCAACGCGAAGAACCUUACCUGGUCUUGACAUCCACGGAAGUUUUCAGAGAUGAGAAUGUGCCUUCGGGAACCGUGAGACAGGUGCUGCAUGGCUGUCGUCAGCUCGUGUUGUGAAAUGUUGGGUUAAGUCCCGCAACGAGCGCAACCCUUAUCCUUUGUUGCCAGCGGUCCGGCCGGGAACUCAAAGGAGACUGCCAGUGAUAAACUGGAGGAAGGUGGGGAUGACGUCAAGUCAUCAUGGCCCUUACGACCAGGGCUACACACGUGCUACAAUGGCGCAUACAAAGAGAAGCGACCUCGCGAGAGCAAGCGGACCUCAUAAAGUGCGUCGUAGUCCGGAUUGGAGUCUGCAACUCGACUCCAUGAAGUCGGAAUCGCUAGUAAUCGUGGAUCAGAAUGCCACGGUGAAUACGUUCCCGGGCCUUGUACACACCGCCCGUCACACCAUGGGAGUGGGUUGCAAAAGAAGUAGGUAGCUUAACCUUCGGGAGGGCGCUUACCACUUUGUGAUUCAUGACUGGGGUGAAGUCGUAACAAGGUAACCGUAGGGGAACCUGCGGUUGGAUCAC